CUCGAUGUUACAGUAAUAAUUUUUCGAAGCGGGAACCUGACAAUAAUUAGGAAAAUAUAUUUCUUUGACUUAAUUAAUAACUUUGAAGCUGAAAUGUUGAUUUGUUGUUUAUAAAAUACUAUGACCGACUGUUACAUGCGAUAGAACUGAAAUUAAUUGGUAAAGUGAGAAUAAAACAGCGUAAUUAAUUAGUAAAAUGUGAGGAGUCCGAUUGAAGAAUUCCACAUUAAUAAAUGUUUUCCUGUUGUUUAUGAGGCAUUGAUAAAACGGUAAGUUGAUAAAGAUUUACUCUAAUGUUAUAUUAAUAAUAGUAAUGAUGAUGAUGAUUUCAAAACUGGCCCAGGGUCAGCAAUCUUUAAUACGAGCGAUUAGUCGAUUGCAUGGGUCCCGGUUUUUUCCUGAAAGAGAUGAAAGACAAAGUCGAUCUCAUCCGUAUUUGAACUCAGGACUUUCCGCCGAGGUUGGCUUUGUAUUUCAUUCCAUUCCGUGUGAAGAAAAUAAUAAUGAUGAUGAUGAUAAUAGUAAUCUUUUGAUUAUUAAGACAAUAAUCAUUUGUGCUUUUGACCUGAAAAUUGGCGGGAAGGCAUAAGUGAAUUACAUGGACCCUAGUACUUGAUUGCUUCUUAUUUUUCUACCUGGAAAUGAUGAAAGGCGACCUUGAUGUGAUUUGAAGUUUGAGAGUAAUGAUGCGAUCUUUUCACUUUGACUGGCAGAUUUUUAAAAUAAUUUCUAUGUAACUAUAAAAUUUAAAACUUCGUAUACUGGUAGAAUGUGCUUAAAAACAUAUUUUUCUCUUGGCUUUCUUGAGAAAAUUCUGUAGUUUGUAACAUAUAUGUUGUUUAAUAUUUUGCAUUUCGGCAAUUUCAACCACUCAAUGACGUUUAUUGAGGUGAAAGCGAUUUCUGGCGGCGUUAUACGAAAACGUCCCUGUUACAUAUAUAUUCGUUUAAGAAACAGAUUGGGUUUAUUUAGAUUUCUGAAGAAAAAAAGAUACCUUUGCCCCUAACCCUAACGCUAAAACAGAUUGAAAUGCAAUAGAUCGAUACUAGGGUCAUAAUUAUUAGUGAACACUAAAGAGGGAACGGUUUUGUUAUCCAGCUCUGUUUACGAGUGAACCCUUAGUUUAUAACCGAAGGGUAUCUUUUUUCUCAUAAAAAAACAGGGACAUUUUCAUAUGACGCCGCCAGUAAAUGUCACGGCAGAAAUCGUUUUCGCCUCAAUAGACGUCUUUGAUUGGUUGUAAUUGCCGAAAUGCAAGAAAUUAAACAACAAAUAUGUUACAAACUACAGAAUUUUCUCAAGAAAGCCAAGAGAAAAAGAUGCUUUAUAAACACAUUCUACCAGUAUAGGAAGUUUAAAAUUGUUUAGUUACAUAGAAUUUAUUUUAAAAAUCUGCCGGUCAAAGCGAAAAGAACCUAAUGAUGUGCAGGACACUGACCAUGGGCUCAUCAUAGACAACAUGAAGACAGGGACCUUCACUGCUGGCUAGCUAGCGAGCUGGUCCAGAGAAGGGAAUUCCGGUCAGCAACAUGAAGUCUUAAAUCAAACAUUUUUCCGAUAGGUAAAGGUGAAGUGUGUAGUAAACUUGUGUGGGUAUACCAAUGUUUCAACGCCUCAAUGAACUCUGACCCCUGUAAACUUUGACAUUAAAUGGCUGACAGUGUUCAUGUUGUAAUAUUUACAAUCUUGAAUUACUAUGUCACUUAACUAUCCUCUUUAUCUUACUGUUUCUUUUUUUAUUUCAGAAUAUCACAUCAUGUUGACAUAAAAGGAAUUACUUCAUUCAGAUGUGCCUCUGAUAUUUUUAUCAACUUUCAUCAACUAAUGAAGACGAUAUAUUUAUAAGGAGCCUUCAUCUAUACAUCAACGUUUCUAUAUAAAUAUAAUCUAUGACAAACAACAGCAGAAUAUUUUUCUUGUCUUCACUGUCUGGAAUGUAGAGGAGGUGAUUGCUUUACAAGUUUGGAUAACUUUACAAAAGAGUUGACAGUUUUCACCUGUUGAUUUAGGUAUUAAGUAAGAUCACAGAUGAAAGAAACAUAG
rnacentral:lncRNA from 1 species